ensembl:lncRNA
CUAGGGGCAUGGUGCCUGCCAACGGUGACAAAUGAGGACUUGGCACAGAGCAGUGAGCAAGCGGUGGCUGUGAGGCUUCUGUUCCUAAGGUUUAUAUCCUGAAGUUGAGUCCAGAGUUCCCGGUGUUUACAGCGUUCCUAAACCAUGUGUUUACAGAAAUCCUCUGAUUGAUUUGCUGUGAAGUUCUUCAUUUGGUGACUAAUGCAGAUGUACCGGAUGAGCCUGGCAAAAUCUCUGACCCUUUCUGGUCUUCUCUAUUGUUUCUCACAUGAACAGUCCCACGGAUGCCACUAGAGGAUGAACUCCACUGAAAUGGUGCACGCUAAGACCUUCAGUGCUCCUAACAGUCCAAUCCAGUGACGCAGCAGAGAACAUCUUUCACUCGUUGCCUUUCUCAAC